rnacentral:rRNA from 1 species
AGCAGCCGCGGUAAUUCCAGCUCCAAUAGCGUAUAUUAAGGUUGUUGCAGUUAAAAAGCUCGUAGUUGAAUUUCGGGAUUAGUGCGCCGGUCGUGCCUUCGGUAUGUACUGGUGUUACUGGUUCCUACCUUCUGACGAACCGUCAUGUCAUUAAUUUGGUGUGGCGGGGAAUCAGGACUGUUACUUUGAAAAAAUUAGAGUGUUUAAAGCAGGCUCGCGCUUGAAUACAUUAGCAUGGAAUAAUGAAAUAGGACGUUCGAUCCUAUUUCGUUGGUUUCUAGGAUUGACGUAAUGAUUAAUAGGGAUAGUUGGGGGCAUUAGUAUUCAAUUGUCAGAGGUGAAAUUCUUGGAUUUAUUGAAGACUAACUACUGCGAAAGCAUUUGCCAAGGAUGUUUUCAUUAAUCAAGAACGAAAGUUAGGGGAUCGAAGACGAUCAGAUACCGUCGUAGUCUUAACCAUAAACUAUGCCGACUAGGGAUCGGAUGAUGUUAUUUUUAAUGACUCAUUCGGCGCCUUACGGGAAAA